CAUGUAGGUGGUUCGUUAAGUAGGUAGUGAAAGCCCCCGGCUCAACUGGGGGAGGUCUACCUAAACUGGGGGACUUGAGGUUCCGAGAGGCAGGUGGAAUUCCCGGUGUAGCGGUGGAAUGCGUAGAGAUCGGGAGGAACAUCGGUGGCGAAGGCGGCCUGCUGGCGGAAUCCUAACACUGAGAUGCGAAAGCGUGGGUAGCAAACGGGAUUAGAUACCCCGGUAGUCCACGCCCUAAACGAUGCGGGCUAGGUGUUGGCGUCAUUUGGCGUCCGUGCCGUAGCAAACGCGUUAAGCCCGCCGCCUGGGGACUACGAGCGCAAGCUUAAA
rnacentral:rRNA from 1 species